UCUUCGGAGAGUUUGAUCCUGGCUCAGAACGAACGCUGGCGGCGUGCCUAACACAUGCAAGUCGAGCGCGAAAGGAGCAAUCCGAGUAGAGCGGCGCACGGGUGCGUAACACGUGGAUAAUCUGCCCUUGAAUUCGGGAUAACCAUUCGAAAGUUUGGCUAAUACCGGGUAAGCUCACGGUGACUUCGGUCGCUGAGAGAAAAGUAGACCUCUAUUUAUAAGUUUACGUUUGAGGAUGAGUCCGCGGCCCAUCAGCUAGUUGGCGGGGUAAUGGCCCACCAAGGCUACGACGGGUAGCUGGUCUGAGAGGACGAUCAGCCACACUGGAACUGAGACACGGUCCAGACUCCUACGGGAGGCAGCAGUGGGGAAUUUUCCACAAUGGGCGAAAGCCUGAUGGAGCAACGCCGCGUGUGUGAUGAAGGUCUUCGGAUCGUAAAGCACUUUCGACCGGGAAGAAAAACCUCUGGCUAACAUCCAGGGGCCUGACGGUACCGGGAGAAGAAGC
rnacentral:rRNA from 1 species